GAUGAACGCUGGCGGCGUGCUUAACACAUGCAAGUCGAACGGAAAGGCCCAAGCUUGCUUGGGUGCUCGAGUGGCGAACGGGUGAGUAACACGUGGGUGAUCUGCCCUGCACUUCGGGAUAAGCCUGGGAAACUGGGUCUAAUACCGGAUAGGACCACAUUUUGGAUGGUGUGGUGGAAAGUUUUUCGGUGUGGGAUGAGCUCGCGGCCUAUCAGCUUGUUGAUGGGGUAAUGGCCUACCAAGGCGUCGACGGGUAGCCGGCCUGAGAGGGUGUACGGCCACAUUGGGACUGAGAUACGGCCCAGACUCCUACGGGAGGCAGCAGUGGGGAAUAUUGCACAAUGGGCGCAAGCCUGAUGCAGCGACGCCGCGUGGGGGAUGACGGCCUUCGGGUUGUAAACUCCUUUCGCUAGGGACGAAGCGCAAGUGACGGUACCUGGAGAAGAAGCACCGGCUAACUACGUG
rnacentral:rRNA from 1 species